UCGGGAGGGAAGAAGCCAUAGCAGCUGCACGUGGUUCCCUGACCAGGGACUGAACCUUGGACCUCCUGCUUUGGGAGCGAGAAGCUUUAGUUACUGGACCAGCGGGGAAGUCCCAGUCGUCCACCUAUCUUAAUUUGGGGUCCUUGGCAGGAGGAAAAGGGGACGACAGAGGAUGAGAUGGCUGGAUAGCAUCACCGACUCAAUGGACAGGAUGAUACGGUUGGAUGGCAUCAUCAAGUCAAUGGACAUGAGUUUGAGCAAACUCUGGAAGUUGGUGAUGGACAGGGAAGACUGGCGUGCUGCAGUCCUUGGGGUCACAAAGAGUCGGAGACAACUGAGUGACUGAAUAACAAUGUGGCAUGACUAGAGAUUGAACCUGUGUCCCUUGCAUUGACAGCACUGAGUUUUAACCGCUGGACCACCAGGGCAGUCCCCCCAAUCGCUCUUGUGUUACUAUUCCUGGGCUCUGACUCAGGCUGCCCUCUCCUCCUGAGACUCCAGGCUCCUGGAAGGGUGCCCCACCUCCAGAGCCCAGGCUCCCUUCAGAAGGAUGUUUUCACACAGUGGCCCUCCCCUGCUCACACACCUGCCUUGGCCCUGGGAAUAAAGCCUGGCUUUGGAGGCCUUCGCUGCCUGGCCCCAGCCCAUCGCCAGUUCCUCCACUUACCCUCGCCCUCCAGCCACCCCACUCCUAACGAGGCUGUCACUCUUAACCACUCUAGCCCAGGCCGGCGUGGCUUCUCAAGCGACAGCACGUGUGCUCCUGCUGUGCCUUCUCGCUGCAGUCUUCGCCACCUUCAUUUCUGCCUGCGACUGCAACUCUUGCUUCAAGCCCCAGACCCAAAGUCCUCUUCCCAGCGAGCCGUCCUCUCAAUGCCCCCCACAGCAUGUUCAUACACAACGAGAGCUCUGAGUCUGUGGGAGAGG
ensembl:lncRNA